rnacentral:rRNA from 1 species
CUGGCUCAGGAUGAACGCUGGCGGCGUGCCUAACACAUGCAAGUCGAACGAAGCACUGGAAACGGAGAUCGUCAAAGUUCCUUGACUUAGUGGCGGACGGGUGAGUAAUGCGUGAGCAACCUGCCUUUCAGAGGGGGACAACAGUUGGAAACGACUGCUAAUACCGCAUAAUGUAUUUAGGAGGCAUCUCCCGGAUACCAAAGGAGCAAUCCGCUGAAAGAUGGGCUCACGUCUGAUUAGCUAGUUGGUGAGGUAACGGCCCACCAAGGCUGCGAUCAGUAGCCGGACUGAGAGGUUGAACGGCCACAUUGGGACUGAGAUACGGCCCAGACUCCUACGGGAGGCAGCAGUGGGGAAUAUUGGGCAAUGGGCGAAAGCCUGACCCAGCAACGCCGCGUGAAGGAAGAAGGUCUUCGGAUUGUAAACUUCUUUUAUGAGGGACGAAGGACGUGACGGUACCUCAUGAAUAAGCCACGGCUAACUACGUGCCAGCCGCGGC